GACGAACGCUGGCGGCGUGCUUAACACAUGCAAGUCGAACGAAGUGGCGAACGGGUGAGUAACGCGUAAUCAACCUGCCCUUCAGAGGGGGACAACAGUUGGAAACGACUGCUAAUACCGCAUACUGAAGGAGGGGAUUGCGUCGGAUUAGGUAGUUGGAGGGGUAACGGCCCACCAAGGGGAUGAUCAGUAGCCGGGUUGAGAGGAUGAACGGCCAAAUUGGGAAUGAGGCACGGCCCAGAAUCCCACGGGAGGCAGCAGGGGGGAAUUUUCCGAAAUGGACGAAAGUCUGACGGAGCAACUCCGCGUGAGUGAUGACGGCCUUCGGGUUGUAAAGCUCUGUUAAUCGGGACGCGGUACCGGAAUAGAAAGCCACGGCUAACUACGUGCCAGCAGCCGCGGUAAUUC
rnacentral:rRNA from 1 species